ACAACAAAGCAGUAACACAAUCAGAAACAACAACAAAGCUGAACCACAAUCUGAUAUUAAAGAACUAGAAGAGGCUGUGUAUGAGAACACUUCAGCGAUAUACGAGAGUGUAUAGACUCAGCCGUCUUCUUUGUGCUAAAGGCCGUUCAGAGGAAGAAGAGCUUCACAACAUAAAGAUAAAGCAGCCCUGAAAUGUUAUCACAUUAUUAUUUUAAAUGCUUUUUCUAAUGUGUCAGCAAACACUACAUUUACAGUGCAGUAAUACCAU